UCCUUAGAUGUCCUGGGCCGCACGCGUGCUACACUGACGCAUACAGCGAGCACUUUCCAGUUCCGAGAGGCUACUGGUAAUCAUCAAUAUGCGUCGUGAUGGGGAUAGAUCUUUGGAAUUCUGGAUCUUGAACGAGGAAUGCCUAGUAAUCGCAGGUCAUUAGCCUGCGAUGAUUAAGUCCCUGCCCUUUGUACACACCGCCCGUCGCUACUACCGAUUUCGAGUGGUCAGGUGAAUCUUUCGGACUGUGGGCGCCCUUGAGGUGUUCGCGGAAAGUCAGGUAAAUCUUAUCACUUAGAGGAAGUAAAAGUCGUAACA
rnacentral:rRNA from 1 species